UACGUAGGGGGCAAGCGUUAUCCGGAUUUACUGGGUGUAAAGGGAGCGUAGACGGCAAUGCAAGUCUGGAGUGAAAGGCGGGGGCCCAACCCCCGGACUGCUCUGGAAACUGUAUAGCUGGAGUGCAGGAGAGGUAAGUGGAAUUCCUAGUGUAGCGGUGAAAUGCGUAGAUAUUAGGAGGAACACCGGUGGCGAAGGCGGCUUACUGGACUGUAACUGACGUUGAGGCUCGAAAGCGUGGGGAGCAAACAGG
rnacentral:rRNA from 1 species